AGUGAACGCUGGCGGUAGGCCUAACACAUGCAAGUCGAACGGCAGCACAGUAAGAGCUUGCUCUUACGGGUGGCGAGUGGCGGACGGGUGAGGAAUACAUCGGAAUCUACUUUUUCGUGGGGGAUAACGUAGGGGAACUUACGCUAAUACCGCAUACGACCUACGGGUGAAAGCAGGGGAUCUUCGGACCUUGCGCGAUUGAAUGAGCCGAUGUCGGAUUAGCUAGUUGGCGGGGUAAAGGCCCACCAAGGCGACGAUCCGUAGCUGGUCUGAGAGGAUGAUCGGCCACACUGGAACUGAGACACGGUCCAGACUCCUACGGGAGGCAGCAGUGGGGAAUAUUGGACAAUGGGCGCAAGCCUGAUCCAGCCAUACCGCGUGGGUGAAGAAGGCCUUCGGGUUGUAAAGCCCUUUUGUUGGGAAAGAAAAGCAGCAGGUUAAUACCCCGCUGUUCUGACGGUACCCAAAGAAUAAGCACCGGCUAACUUCGUG
rnacentral:rRNA from 1 species